GACGAACGCUGGCGGCGUGCUUAACACAUGCAAGUCGAGCGAUGCAAGCCUUAUGAACUAUUCGUAGUGAUUGAGGCCGGAUUAGCGGCGGACGGGUGAGUAACGCGUGAGCAACCUGCCUUAAACAACGGGAUAGCCUCGGGAAACCGGGAUUAAUACCGUAUGAGACCCCGCCUUCACAUGAAGAAGAGGUUAAAGAUUUAUCGGUUUAAGAUGGGCUCGCGUCGGAUUAGCUAGUUGGUGAGAUAAAAGCCCACCAAGGCAACGAUCAGUAACCGGCUUGAGAGAGUGAAGAGUCACAUUGGAACUGAGACACGGUCCAAACUCCUACGGGAGGCAGCAGUGGGGAAUAUUGCACAAUGGGGGAAACCCUGAUGCAGCGACGCCGCGUGAGCGAUGAAGGAAUUCGUUUCGUAAAGCUCUGUCCAAGGGGAAGAUAAUGACAGUACCCUUGGAGGAAGCCCCGGCUAAAUACGUGCCAGCCGCCGCCGUAACAC
rnacentral:rRNA from 1 species